rnacentral:rRNA from 1 species
CCUGACGACCAUAGCAAGGUGGUCCCACUCCUUCCCAUCCCCGAACAGGACAGUGAAACGCCUUCGCGCCGAUGAUAGUGGACGGACGUCUGUGAAAGUAGGUCAUCGUCAGGC